UCUGCAACCCGACUCCACGAAGCUGGAUUCGNUAGUAAUCGCGCAUCAGCCACGGCGCGGUGAAUACGUUCCCGGGCCUUGUACACACCGCCCGUCAAGCCAUGGGAGCCGGGGGUACCUGAAGUGCGUAACCGCGAGGAUCGCCCUAGGGUAAAACUGGUGACUGGGGCUAAGUCGUAACAAGGUACC
rnacentral:rRNA from 1 species